rnacentral:lncRNA from 1 species
GAGAGAGAGGCAGGGGGGGUUCUAACUUUGGUACCUGCUGGUGAUGUGCAGCGGUGGUGCGGCUGGUCCAGAUCCGGGAGCCACCGUCGCCGUGGUGACAGGAGAGAGUGCAAGGUGACUGCACUGCAGGCAGGUGAGGAGGCGACGAGAGCUGUGCUGCUAACCGCGAGGUGGAGCACCAGGGUCGGGAGUGGGAGCGCCGGUGGUGAGAAGAGAUGAAGCGGCGGAUAGCGACAGUGCGAAAGAGAGAGUGAGCUUAGUGAGUGUUUAGCCCUCAAACGGAUCUGAUCAAGUAGUACAUUGGAUGCUCACUGUUAUCUAAGUAAUUAGCUAUUAACAGUGCACACCGGGGUAGCUGUCAUCAGUUACAAGGCGCUGGCCGGCACAAGCGCACAAGGACAUGCCAUGUGAACGAGCGUGGUAAGCGAGUGUUAAAAAGACAGCAGUGGGGACUAGCGCCUAGACUCAAGUUGAUCAUAGUAUACUUGAAUCGACAGUAGGCAGCCGCACAAAGGCCAAAAGUAGUUGUAUUCUGCAGUAGUAAUAAUCGGGCUAUUAGCAGCACUUCUUGUCACACAGGUUGAAAAGCAAAAAAACAAGGACAAGGGGCUGUCAUCAUCUACAAAUAAAUCAGUACCAAUCAAUAAUACAAACUACUCCUGUCGUCCCAGAGAAUACUCUGUAUGUAUCGGGGAGAGGCUCGCUGGUUUUCUUUUAGUAAUACUUUGAUUCGUUAGGCUCUAGUUAACAGUUGCUCUAACAUGUAAGAUAUUGCUAUUUCACAAUAAGAUUGUGAGUCCUAAUUAACAACCACUGGGCCUCCAAUCAACCAACCUGUGCCGCUAUGCCUGGUGCUGAUGCCAGGCCAUGAUCAAAAUUGGUUUGGCUGCUUAGAUGCACCUUUAGUAUCUAAGCCUCUACUGCUAAACUGGUAGAGAACUGAAGGAGCCUCAGUCGUGGCGCACCUGAACAAGUGAUCGAGCUCAGUAGCUCAAGGCUGGACGAGCCAGCGAUAUGCUUGGGCCAAAGAUGUGUAUGUCCAUCUACACGUUGCUACCGCCAUCCACCGGAUCUGAUCAACCGAACCAAUUCCAAAUCCAAUAGUAAAUUAAAGACUAGGUUCCGGGUCUCGCGCAGCGCUGGUGGUGGUGUUGCGGUCUGUAAGGCGAUGGCCGGCACAAGCACAUGCCAUCUGAACGAGCUUGGUAAGAGAGUGGACAAUCAAUAAUAAAAACUACUCCUGUCGUCCCAGAGAAUACGCCAUCUGAACGAGCUUGGUAAGAGAGUGUUAAAAGACAUGCAGUUAGACUCGAGUUGUUCAUAUUAUAGCACGCAAAGACAUGAUGCCAUGUGAACGAGCUUGCUAAGCUGAGUGUUAAAAAUACGGGCACCCGGGGCUAGCGCCUAGACUCGAGUAGAUCAUAGUAUUAUACUUGAAUUGGUUCCCACAAGGCCCAGCUUUAUUCGCUUGAAGCUCAAGCUCGUCUCUUGAUGUAUGGUGGCCAUUAGUUAAUUUCUGGGGACGAAUCGAGAGACGAGAGAGACAGACAAUAGGACGGAGACAGCUUUAUUCCACUGGAAGCAAAGAAGCGUGCGUGGACGCAUGUCGGCAACUGGGUUGGUGACCAUGGUGCUGGAGCUAGCUAGGAAGGUGGCGGUGGAAGGAAGCUGGUGCUGGUGGAAAUAAACGCAAACACCUGCAGGGCGCGAGCAGAGCACAUGAGAGCUCCUUGGUGGCAGCUCGUUNACGCAAACACCUGCAGGGCGCGAGCAGAGCACAUGAGAGCUCCUUGGUGGCAGCUCGUUCGAGCAUGGCCUGCACCUGCAGCAGUUCCGUGCGGACGGCCUCGAUGUUGAGACCAAAGUGACUGCUGGCCGCCCAAGCCUCCAGCACACCAUCCGCAACGGGGGCUAGUGCCUUUCCCACCACCCAUUGUGCCGCGCCAAGGGCCGCGUCGGCCAUCGAUCCCCUGAUCGGAUGCAGGGAUGGAGGAUGUUCUGCGCACCUGCACUGGUCCAGGAACCAACAAAAGUUGAUAAAUCUUGGCUGCUGGUAGCUGCAAAUGAAAGGAGAGAUCAGUAGGUAUGUACGUUGACGCGCGCACGAGGUGUCGGUCUGCCGGUGAUGGAAGCCGCUGCCGUCUGCCUAGUCCCAGCUAGCUACAAAAAGGGGGUUGUGUUGAGUCUCUGUCAUUGAGACUUUGGGAGAGAAAGGGAGAGAGAGAGGGGGGGGGGAGGGGGUCUGAUUUUGGUACCUGCUGGUGAUGUGCAGCGGUGGUACGGCUGGUCCUGUCACCGUCGCCGUGGUGACAGGAGAGUGCAAGGUGACUGCACUGCAGGCAGGUGAGGAGGCGACGAGAGCUGCGCUGCUGACUGCAAGGUGGAGCAGCAGGGUCGGGAGUGGGGAGCAGGGGCAGGACGAACGCCGGUGGUGAGAAGAGAUCAAGCUGUGGAGAGCGACAGUGCGAAAGAGAGGGUGAGCUUAGUGAGUGUUUAGCCCUCAAACGGAUCUGAUCUAGUACUCCUACAUCGGAUGCUCACUGUUAUCUAAGUAAUUAACUAUUAACAGUGCACACCGGGGUAGCUGUCAUCAGUUACAAGGCGCUGGCCGGCACAAGCGCACAAGGACAUGCCAUGUGAAGGAGCGUGGUAAGCGAGUGUUAAAA